rnacentral:rRNA from 1 species
AGAGUUUGAUCCUGGCUCAGGAUGAACGCUAGCGGCAGGCCUAACACAUGCAAGUCGAGGGGCAUCGGGAUUGAAGCUUGCUUCAAUUGCCGGCGACCGGCGCACGGGUGCGUAACGCGUAUGUAACCUACCUAUAACAGGGGCAUAACACUGAGAAAUUGGUACUAAUUCCCCAUAAUAUUCGGAGAGGCAUCUCUCCGGGUUGAAAACUCCGGUGGUUAUAGAUGGACAUGCGUUGUAUUAGCUAGUUGGUGAGGUAACGGCUCACCAAGGCAACGAUACAUAGGGGGACUGAGAGGUUAACCCCCCACACUGGUACUGAGACACGGACCAGACUCCUACGGGAGGCAGCAGUGAGGAAUAUUGGUCAAUGGACGCAAGUCUGAACCAGCCAUGCCGCGUGCAGGAUGACGGCUCUAUGAGUUGUAAACUGCUUUUGUACGAGGGUAAACGCAGAUACGUGUAUCUGUCUGAAAGUAUCGUACGAAUAAGGAUCGGCUAACUCCGUGCCAGCAGCCGCGGUAAUACGGAGGAUCCGAGCGUUAUCCGGAUUUAUUGGGUUUAAAGGGUGCGUAGGCGGUUUGAUAAGUUAGAGGUGAAAUUUCGGGGCUCAACCCUGAACGUGCCUCUAAUACUGUUGAGCUAGAGAGUAGUUGCGGUAGGCGGAAUGUAUGGUGUAGCGGUGAAAUGCUUAGAGAUCAUACAGAACACCGAUUGCGAAGGCAGCUUACCAAACUAUAUCUGACGUUGAGGCACGAAAGCGUGGGGAGCAAACAGGAUUAGAUACCCUGGUAGUCCACGCAGUAAACGAUGAUAACUCGUUGUCGGCGAUACACAGUCGGUGACUAAGCGAAAGCGAUAAGUUAUCCACCUGGGGAGUACGUUCGCAAGAAUGAAACUCAAAGGAAUUGACGGGGGCCCGCACAAGCGGAGGAACAUGUG